ACGAGGCACUACGGUGCUGAAGCAACAAAUGCCCUGCUUCCAGGAAAAGCCUCUAAGCAUCAGGUAACAUCAAAUCGUACCCCAAACCGACACAGGUGGUCAGGUAGAGAAUACCAAGGCGCUUGAGAGAACUCGGGUGAAGGAACUAGGCAAAAUGGUGCCGUAACUUCGGGAGAAGGCACGCUGAUAUGUAGGUGAAGCGACUUGCUCGUGGAGCUGAAAUCAGUCGAAGAUACCAGCUGGCUGCAACUGUUUAUUAAAAACACAGCACUGUGCAAACACGAAAGUGGACGUAUACGGUGUGACGCCUGCCCGGUGCCGGAAGGUUAAUUGAUGGGGUUAGCGCAAGCGAAGCUCUUGAUCGAAGCCCCGGUAAACGGCGGCCGUAACGAUAACGGUCCUAAGGUAGCGAAAUUCCUUGUCGGGUAAGUUCCGACCUGCACGAAUGGCGUAAUGAUGGCCAGGCUGUCUCCACCCGAGACUCAGUGAAAUUGAACUCGCUGUGAAGAUGCAGUGUACCCGCGGCAAGACGGAAAGACCCCGUGAACCUUUACUAUAGCUUGACACUGAACAUUGAGCCUUGAUGUGUAGGAUAGGUGGGAGGCUUAGAAGUGUGGACGCCAGUCUGCAUGGAGCCGACCUUGAAAUACCACCCUUUAAUGUUUGAUGUUCUAACGUUGACCCGUAAUCCGGGUUGCGGACAGUGUCUGGUGGGUAGUUUGACUGGGGCGGUCUCCUCCUAAAGAGUAACGGAGGAGCACGAAGGUUGGCUAAUCCUGGUCGGACAUCAGGAGGUUAGUGCAAUGGCAUAAGCCAGCUUGACUGCGAGCGUGACGGCGCGAGCAGGUGCGAAAGCAGGUCAUAGUGAUCCGGUGGUUCUGAAUGGAAGGGCCAUCGCUCAACGGAUAAAAGGUACUCCGGGGAUAACAGGCUGAUACCGCCCAAGAGUUCAUAUCGACGGCGGUGUUUGGCACCUCGAUGUCGGCUCAUCACAUCCUGGGGCUGAAGUAGGUCCCAAGGGUAUGGCUGUUCGCCAUUUAAAGUGGUACGCGAGCUGGGUUUAGAACGUCGUGAGACAGUUCGGUCCCUAUCUGCCGUGGGCGCUGGAGAACUGAGGGGGGCUGCUCCUAGUACGAGAGGACCGGAGUGGACGCAUCACUGGUGUUCGGGUUGUCAUGCCAAUGGCACUGCCCGGUAGCUAAAUGCGGAAGAGAUAAGUGCUGAAAGCAUCUAAGCACGAAACUUGCCCCGAGAUGAGUUCUCCCUGACCCUUUAAGGGUCCUGAAGGAACGUUGAAGACGACGACGUUGAUAGGCCGGGUGUGUAAGCGCAGCGAUGCGUUGAGCUAACCGGUACUAAUGAACCGUGAGGCUUAACCUC
rnacentral:rRNA from 1 species